UGAGGAAUAUUGGUCAAUGGACGCAAGUCUGAACCAGCCAAGUAGCGUGCAGGAUGACGGCCCUAUGGGUUGUAAACUGCUUUUAUAUGGGGAUAAAGUGGGGAACGUGUUCCCUUUUGCAGGUACCAUAUGAAUAAGGACCGGCUAAUUCCGUGCCAGCAGCCGCGGUAAUACGGAAGGUUCGGGCGUUAUCCGGAUUUAUUGGGUUUAAAGGGAGCGUAGGCCGUUUGGUAAGCGUGUUGUGAAAUGUAGGAGCUCAACUUCUAGAUUGCAGCGCGAACUGUCAGACUGGAGUGCGCACAACGUAGGCGGAAUUCAUGGUGUAGCGAUGAAAUGCUUAGAUAUCAUGAAGAACUCCGAUUGCGAAGGCAGCUUACGGGAGCGCAACUAACGCUGAAGCUCGAAGGUGCGGGUAUCGAACAGG
rnacentral:rRNA from 1 species